AAAUAUAGAUCAAAAUACACAAUCACAUGCAUAUGUUCUUCAAUAAAGAACAAAUUCAUCAUCAUCACUCAAUAUUAAAAACACACAUAACCCAGACAUGACUACAUGUUACUAUAUGUUACUAUAUAUGACUAUAGUAACAUAUAGUAAUGUUACUAUAUAUGACUAUGUAACAUAUAGUCAGGUUACCAUAUAUGUAGUAAUGUUACUAUAUAAGACUAUAGUAACAUAUAGUCAUGUUACCAUAUAUGACUAUAGUAACAUGUAGUAAAGCACUUCUCGCCGUCAUUUCUUACUGUAUAGAAGUGGCAAAAACAACAAUCCCUGUAGCAAAGAAAAUACCAGUUAGAGAAAACGAAAAGCAAAAAGUCUUGCGACAAAAAAAAUACGAGUUAAAGAGAAAAAUGGAACAUGCGAGUUAGAUUACAUGAAAAAUACAAAAAAAAUGUUAAUUUUUUGUACUGAAAUAGACUACAAAUGACUAUAGUAUACUACAAAUUCUAUAGUCAUAUAUAGUUAUAUGUAGCCAUGACUACAUAUGACUGUAUAUGACUACAUAUAAUUGUACAUUCACCUAACUCUAAUCACCCAACUACUGAUUAAGUUUCUACUACUGAUAAACAAAGCCCUCUCACUUAAAGCAUUUCGCAUCAUCUUCAAAUAAAUUAACCAUAUUCCAGCAUCGACCCACACAUUCAACGAAUUAGGUCAAAACUUCUGCAUUGGAGCACCCACUGAAACUGUACAAUCUCAAAACCGAAUCAGAAACAUAAUCGGACAGAAUAAGAAACUAUGAAAAUGUCAUUAUCAAUCUAAUCUCAUCUAAUCCAAAUUAAUCUAAUAUAAAGUUGAUUAGCAGACCAAGCAACCCAAAAUUACAUAUUAAAAAAUAGAUUAAAACAUGGAAUGGUCUUGUAAGUCAUUCUUCAAUGCACAAAAUUCCACCCAAGUAACAAUAAUAAUUAGGGGAUAUAAGAAAAAAAAAUUGGAUCAAGAAAUUUUAUGCAGAACUUGAACAAACCUUCAUCCAUUAACACUUCAAAAUUGAGUGGUGGCUUUUUGUGGAAUAACAUCCUUUUCUUCUUCUUACCAAAUGAAGAACAAAAAUUCAAAUAAAAAUUAAACUUACAACAAUUUAUUAUACAGAUCGUGUUGGUAGAGUUCUCAUAGGAGAAGAAGGAGGAGGGCCGCGUCGAGGUCCCGGAGUUUCAUGUGCGCGGCGGAGUGCAGCGGUGUUGCGGUGGCGUUGUUGUCUCGAUCAAAGUGGUGGAGCACGGUGAGAUCCGAAAAGAGGUGGCGGCCAUGAUAACUUUUGGUGGAGGGACAGAGACUGGAGGUGACGGUGAGUGAGGGAGAAGAAGUUCGGGAGAGGAAAAAAUUAUCUCAGAGAUUUCCAUGGAGAAAAGGGGAAAACAGAAUAGAGAAUGGCGAGAGAGAUAGAGAGAAGAAUGGAGGCGGAUGUUUAGAGAGGUGUAGGAUUAGGUCAUUUAUGAAAAGGGCAAAAUAGGGAAUCCAUAUAUCCUAGGGGGUCUCACUAAUUAAGAUCAGAU
rnacentral:lncRNA from 1 species